AGCAGUUGUUUUUGCAUCCACUUAAAGCAAGAGAAUUUUGAAGAGAGGAGAGAGAAGUGUUCUAGGGUCUGGGCCACAGCAGGAGAAAGAAAUUGUGGCAAAUGGAGUGAUGGUAGAAGAUCUGUUCCCUGCCUGGUUCCUUGAACUAGGUUCAAACCUAGGUACAGCAAGAAUGGAUUGAAGAAUACAGCUAACUGGAGUUUGCCAAGAAGGCAUAGGUCAUGGUACUUUUCUGGGAGAAGAGAUUUAUGGCAGUCUUUAUUUCUCAGGAGUUUCUGCUUUUACUCAGGUGAGGCUAUGCCCAGGCUGACUGGGGACUGGAGUAGAUGGAGGGGUCUCUUAUCCAAAGCUGUGGCAGAUGUUGAAAGCAGGGUAGCACCCCCAUUCUACCUCCAAGUGUGACAACCAGAAAUUUUUCCAGCCAAUGCCAAAUGUUUUCUGGGGCACAAAAAUCACCACCGGUUGAGAACCACUGGUUAUAUGAUUAGACGGAAAGAAAAAGAGAAAAAGAAAGAUGCCUGGCUAGGCCAAUUAGAGAUCUUAGAUAAUUACUAUAUGCAUGCAACAUUAGAUAGUUUUAUUUUCAUUAAACUUUUAAAUCUUUUAAAAUCUCUUACAGACCCUACUUUGAAGCUAGCUUGAUAUAAUGCUAAUGUGACCUUGAACGAUUUCUUUCUUCCUGAGUUUGCCUACUAGUAUAGCUUAAAGAUCCAAGUUACACUAUUACUCACUUAUAUCAUAGCCAGCAUUGCUUGAUCAGAUUAUCAGAUAGAUACAGUAUCACGGAGACAAAAUCCUUUCAUUAUGAUGUAAGAUAAAAAAUAUCUUUCAUUAACAACACACGUAAAGGAAGUACCCACUGGACCAACUCAGGUUAGAAGGGUACCAGACCAGAAGAUCAGAUCGUAGAAGUUACUGGAGAAAAAGAUCAGCGGACAGCACUCUUGAACUACAUGCCAGGCCUCUUCUUCCUGGAACUCUAAUGGAUUUAAAUGGCUUAAGAGACGGGAUGAAUUGUUGAAAAUGGUUCUUUCAAAAGACCUCACGGAAGGCCAAAGACAAGACUCACUGAGGCCAAGGUGAUCAACAAUAUCUAUAAGUUGACGCAUUCUAAUCAUGUGGCGAUCUUGACCUUGGGAGCUUGAUUUGUGGACCAGUGUCCCCAAGAAGAUGACCAUCAGACAGAUGACAAUCCUCUCCAUGUUGCCAGGACUGGAUCUCAUAAGUACCAACAGUAGAGCUAGACCUUGGUCUCGUUUUCACUUCAGCUUGACUGAGAACAGGUAUACGUGUGCAUGUGCUAAUGUGUGGGGGCAGGGAUUGAUGGAGUCAACGAAAUGUGCCCCAUCUGCAUCUUUGACAGGAAAAAGAGAGAAUGGGUGAAUUCCAAUUUUCAGCAUGAAUCAAGAAGGUCACCGAUGAAGUUUUUGAAUGCUGUGCUCCUAAUCUCAUUUUCCUGCUCCAGAGACUUCGGUGAAGGAUGAUGCAAACUGUGUUUCUUCAGCAUGUGAGCACCAUCAGCCAUGAGUGUGGCAGCUCCAGAAUGUCUAUACCAGAGUGGCUGAGAGUCAGCAACUUGGCUGGAAGCUACACUUGAAUAGCAAACAAACCACUUUUACUUAGUUUCCAUGUCUAUUUGGUACCUUGGAGUACAGUGAUGAGUUUUACUAGAUGUGGACUUUCCAGGAAUAUAGCCAAGGUCGUCACCAUGAAAGUAUGAAACUUUAGUCAUUUACCCAAGGGGAUUCAUGGACAUAUAUUAAGAAUUUUCUUUAAUGGACUGUGUUUAUAGAACACCUGGUCAGGACGGAAAUGAGGCCAGGGAACUAAAGGGGUAGAAGUCUGAAGAGGAAUGGUUUUGCAUGGGAAAACUGUGCCAGGUCUAAAACUGGGCUGAACACUAUUUGUCCCCAACUCUCUGGCCCGGUCCUCAUAGUUCUUUCUGUGAUCCCUGCGUGGUGAAUACUCCUUUUCUGCUUUCACUGGCUUUGGCCCCUCAUGGAUAGAAUUAGAUGUUCUGCAUGGCAAACUGUGGGAAGAGAGGCCUCCAGUGUUUAGAGUGAUAUUAUCAUGUGUACCACUACUAUUAUACAUACUAAAGGUAUUCAGACAGGUGGCUUGUCUCUGGGCUUUAUAUAGAUCUCUGUCAAGCUAGAAGAAAAAUGUCACUAAAAUAAUUCAAGACAAUUUUUGUACUUUCCAACGAUGUUCAGGUAACAGCUGAAAAUAUUCUCACUUAUUUGACUUGAGGAAGAAAAUUCGAACGAGGAAAAUCAUCAAGGAUUUGCUAAAGUCCCUUCUGUAAAAUCUUCCUUAAGGAAGUUUAAACACUCCUAUUCUCUCUUCUCUCAUUCUUUUGAACUCACUGCAUGUAUUGAUAUCACUGACUUGGUUUGUUUUCUAGAAUAUAUGUAAAAGUAAGAGUGUGUAUAUAUAACCCAUUAUGUACAUAACAAGAACAGUUCCUUCCAAUAUUCAAAUUUCAUGACUCUAGAUCACUACUGUGCAUUCUAAGAAGGUCAGGGACUCAUGGAGACCAAAGGGUCAAUCCUGGUCAUUGUUGUCUUACGAGAGAAAAACAAGAGCCUUCUCGGGCCCCGUGUUCUCUAGCUCUUGAUGUGGCCUCUUCGGUAUCACUGGCAGCCCCACAGUCUGGUGGUCAGUGUGUCGCAGCAGAGGGUCAUUCACCGAUGCUGCUUAUCCACAGCACCUUUUCUGUGGGGAAUGGGGGCCUCUAUUCUGCUAGUAGACUCAGGUGUGUCACUCUGUGAUACUCUUAAGACUGGGUUCAUUGAGGACAGGUCUCUUUGCUAACAUUCACACAAAGUCAUUGUUUGGAAGCACAGUCCUGCUUCUGAAAUGCUAGGUCUGGAGGAGUUCCAGCAGCAGCCACAUGGGCCCUCUCCUCAGAUCUUGGCUCCAACAUGGGAUACUCAGCAGUGAGGCUAGAGAUCAGAUGUCCUUCAUUCCUUGACCACUAAGCCUAGAGGAUGGAGAGAAAGAAGUGGAACAUCUGCACUCUUCAACCUGAGUCCACUCCAACUCCAUCCCACAAGGGAACUGCCUCCAUUGCUGAUGUUGGAUUAAACAGAACAGCCUGUGCAGUUAGUUCAUGGAUUCCAUAAAGGGACUGGACCUUAAUGAAGACGUUCCUGACAUGGGUUUGGGGAAGAAGAUAUUAUAAUUUUGCAAAUGAAGAAACUGAGAUACAGAAAUGACAUCCAGCACCCUCAGUGUCACACAGAGAGUAAAUGGACUGGCCUGAACCAGGCUGCCUCCUGGAACUGGUUUCUUUGGUUGGUUGAAUCCAUGGAUGGAGAACUCGUGGAUACAAGGGCUGACUAUAAUGAGAAGAUAUGAAAGCUGAAAAGACAAACAUUACUACAUAUUUACAUAUGUCCAAAGAAGAAGGUUCAUCUCCACGUGGACCUCCCUAUAGAGCUUCUUGAAUGGCCUCACAACAUGGCGGCUGGCUUCCCACAGAGUGAGCAAUCCAAGAGUUUGGGUUAAUACUGGAGUGACUUAAGACUUUGGGGGACUGUUGGUUCCUUGAUUCAGAGAAAGAAGAUAAAAACACAUACAAAGAGACGGCACCAGCUCCUUUCCCAGUUGUGACCAGAUUGCACGAUACCCAAGCCAUGGCUCCAAAGAGUGCGUGUACUGAAGCCUGGCCAUUCAUGACAGACUCAUUUCCACACCUGAGUCCGGUUUUGCUCUGUGAGUGUUGGGCUUUCUCCAAGGGAAUGGUUGGAGCUGUUGCGAGCGAACUUCCUGGCUGCCACAGAGUUGAUUGGAUUCCUUGGAAAUGCACACUCACAGGCUGCUGCUCUUUGAAGCUGUCUCCUUCACUGGCCAUGAUUCUCCUGUCUCAUUAGCUGUUGCCUAUGACCCUGGUGUCGUUUUCUCCUUUUACUCAUCAACACCCAAAUCCACAGGGUUGUGAUGGAUUAGCAGCCUUUCUUAUUAGCAAGAAGCCCUGUGGCCUCAAGAGGCAAAAUGAAUCGUGGUUAGAAAUCUCCAUCUCCUCCCUCCCUUGGUAUAAUGCCAUCAUUUAACUAUCUGAAAAUAGAGAAGACUCCGUUCCAAUUGUAAAGCCCUAAGGAGAAAAACUGAGUUUGAAACUUUCCUUAAUUAUGCUGAUAUUUAACAAUAAACUUUGUAGUAU
rnacentral:lncRNA from 1 species